ACCUGAGCUCCAUAAUUUUACAGAGACGUUUAAAGAGUCGAAGACCAAAAUUAAUAGAUAAAAUAGAAUUACAGGAAUUCUCACUAGGCUCGUGUCCACCUACCUUGGGAGAACAGGGCAUGCGCUGGAUGACUUCAGGUGAACAGCAAGUCAUGACCUUGGGUUUUGACUGGGACAGCAAGGAGAUGAGUGUAAUGUUUAUGGCGAAAUUAGCAAAGCCACUAAUGGGCACUGCUCGCGUUGUUAUAAACAGCAUCCACAUCAAG